rnacentral:rRNA from 1 species
UUUCGCCUACGGGGCGCAGCAGUAGGGAAUAUUGCGCAAUGGGGGCAACCCUGACGCAGCAACGCCGCGUGAUUGAAGAAGGCCUUCGGGUUGUAAAGAUCUUUAAACAGGGACGAAGAAAUGACGGUACCUGAAGAAUAAGCUCCGGCUAACUACGUGCCAGCAGCCGCGGUAAUACGUAGGGAGCAAGCGUUAUCCGGAUUUACUGGGUGUAAAGGGCGUGUAGGCGGGCCUGUAAGUCAGAAGUGAAAUCUGGGGGCUUAACCCCCAAACUGCUUUUGAAACUGCGGGUCUUGAGUGAUGGG